GAUGACACCUCUGCUCCUCAGCGAGGCAGCUGCUGAGUGCAGUCUGGGCAAGGCAACUUGCAGCCCACCUGAGUAUCUGUCACUUUGAUGGCUCUGGGCUCAUGUUUUACAAAAGGUCACAUUUUUUGACAGUGUCGAAAGUUUUAUCAGGAAAGUUGCCUUUUAAGAAUGUGUAUUCAUUUACUGAACGAUCCAGAAAGUACAUAGACAUUCCAUGCAGCACUUUUACAAGGACCUGGGGGCCUAGGGAUGAAUGCAGCUGUGAUGCUUGUGAUCUUUGGGAGAUAAAGUGUGUAUGUGAAUAUUGGAGGCCAGGAAGUUAGACGGGAGCCAGAAUGUGGAAAUUCUUAACUGUCAGAAUAUUAGGGAGCCACUAAAGGCUUUUAGAGAGCAUCAUGAGACGGUCUUGGCUCCACUUCAGAUGGAUGGCUGCUCUGGAGUAGGAGAGAAAGGGGGGCAGUCUGUCACUAGCCUUGACGAAAGGAAGGAAGAAAAGGGAGCAGGUGCAUUGGGGGACUUGGUGACCAGGUAAGGGGAGACAGGUGAAGGAGGGGGAAGAGAGAACUGAAGUUUGGAGUCUGUGUAGCUGAGUUGUGGUCUUUGUUGGAAAUCAGGAGAAGAGCAAGAUGACAGACUUAAUUUUGGACGUGGCUUUGCAAUGCUUGUGAGCAACGCUGUGAAUUGUGAGUUUGGAAACAUGGAGUAAUGCUUGGAGGAAAAUCUGGCCUGGGUUAUAUUGAGAGUCUUGUACAUAGAAGUGCAGUUUAGCCAGGUGGGCGAGUACUGCGGAUAGAGAGAGAGGCCAAAGGAAAGUUCAGAUAUAAGAAUUUAGGAAGAACCAGAUGAGAAAAGGUCCUGCCUGCGGCUCAGAGAACUGAAGGGUGCAAUAUGUAAAAGUCCAGUGAAGAGAUGUGUUCCAGAAGAAAGUGUCCAGUGCUGCUAAGCACCAGGAGAGAGAGGCCUCAGAGGGACAUUGUUUGUGAAGGCUGGGAGGCCACCAGUCCCCGAGAAGAGCAGCUUCUUCUGAAGAUGGUGGUCAGUGCAGGGAGCUGGUGUCAGUGGUACUUUCUGAGCCUGUCACUUCACUCAGGGUGGGAGCAUAGACUGAAGGCCACUUAAUGUAGGGGUGGGGGCCUGAGUGUUUUGCUGAAGGAAGGAACCCAGGGAGAGGGAGACUGGAAGGCAUGAAAGGAGGGAAUAACCAGUAGAGCCAGAUCCCUAAGAGUGGACAUAAUAUUUUCCUAUCUUUAUUCAUGAAUUGGUUGUUAUUCUAAAUUCACAAAGUAAUCCACUUUGUGCAGCCCUAAGAAAAAUCUGAA
rnacentral:lncRNA from 1 species